AUAAAUGUGUAUGUUAAAUAUUUAUGAGAUGAAUUGGAAUUAAAAACGUACGUUUUCAUUGUAUUUCUCGUUGUAAAGCAGCAAGGAGCACUAUUGACAUGGAAACUUGCUUCACUCCAUUGUAAUAGUAAAUGUACAUAGAAUGAAUGUGUUAGUCAAACGUUACCUAGAACACAAAAAGCACAAAAGUACGAUAUGAAAAAGGAGGAAACUGGUAUUGUUUGUUAUCUUUAUCCUCCUUGUUUGGCGAUAGUUUAGUUGUGCAUUUCGCUAACAACCAGUAGGGAACGCUAAAGACAUUCACCAGAAACCCCAGAUCGUGUCAAAAGAUGCCUCCAGGCGUGGGGAUGUUGCUCAAGAAGUUUCCUGCCAUCUGAGCGCAGCAAGUGGCCUCCAGCCUCUACACAUGUCGGAGUGAAGGGGACAAACAAAGUGCAGGACGCCAGUGACCUGGAUUGAGAAUGUGCAGUACUGUACUCUGUCUGCGAGAUGACGGUUUCUGUUGGUGGCACCAAAGUGCUGUUUACUGCCAUUGUGGCAGAUUGCAGCCAAUGAGGGCCAAUUCUGGAACUAUUCGACUUUGAAAGCUUACUGGGACGUCUUGACACUAUUUUCUGUCUGUUGAAUCCAGGGUCUGUUGGUUCCAAGUCCGUUAAAUUGAGAUUCAAUGAAAAUCCAUUCUAAUACUUUGUGCACAAGAACCUCUUUUAUUUAACUUACAUUCUAUUCAUCCGGAUUAACAGCAUUUCACUUCAUUUCAAUAGGAAAAUUGGAUUUGACGCACCAGUAGUUUGAGUUUCAUGCUUGGUCACGGGACAAAUUAUGGUACUAUUGUAUUAGUACUUCCAACCACUGCGUGCAGUGGAGCAUGUCUCCUGUCUCUUUUACUAGUAGGUGGAAAAAAAUAGACGAAAGUGGGACCGGAGCUGACGUCAACGGCGCAUGCGAUAGUAGAGACGCAGACAGUGAGUGGGACAGACGGUGUGGGAGGGAAUCUGGCAAGCCGGGUAGCGGAGGAGGAAGAUUGCUGUCCUCUUGGGCGCUCGAUGCUCCAACAUGGUGCCUCUGGGGGGUCCUGACAAAAUUAAACAAACAUAAAAGGAGCAAGCGAUCACAGAGACAGAUGAAGGUCGCUGGAACGUGAGUGACAUUCCUGGGCCGCGGUUCCAGUGAAGGAUGAGGCCUUUAGAUUGAAGGCGGUAUACAUUACAUAGACCUGGGGUCCGAUUCACAAAGCAGGUUCAACAAACUCUGUGUCUAAUCCUGAACCCUAAAUUGAUCUAUUCUGAGAUAGGAAAAUCGGAGUUUCCGGGCCAGAACAGCUGUUUUGAAUCAGUGUAAUCAACUGGGAGUGUCUUUCCCUGGAAUUAAGCGCGCGCACCAAAACUAUGAAAAGCUAUCAUCGAUGGAUCCUCGAUUUGACGAAUCACCAUGACAACGGGGAAGCGGAGAGUUUUUUUAUCUAACUCAAACUGCAAUAUUAAUGCGCUCAUACGACGAGUUUGAACACACCUUCAGGAAGAAGUGCAACAUCCUAAUGAGAGGGAGACAGCGUGGGAGAACUUUGCCGCUUGGGGCAAUGUGUAACUUUCAACGUUGUCCAUUGCAGGCUCAUAAAAUAUAACGAAGGGAAAACUGCUUGAAUGCAAGCCUAUUAAUUCGUUUCAUUUAGGUGCAACACCGCGGAGGCACACUUGGCAAUAGCUGAAGAUGAAAUAU